GUCGGAGUGGCGGAAUAGGCAGACGCGCACGUUUGAGGGGCGUGUGGGUAACCGUGCGGGUUCAAGUCCCGCCUCCGACACCA
rnacentral:tRNA from 2 species